UACGGAGGGUGCGAGCGUUGUCCGGAAUCACUGGGCGUAAAGGGCGCGUAGGUGGCGCGGGAAGUCAACGGUGAAAGUUCGGGGCUCAACCCUGAAUCGGCCGUCGAUACUCCCGGGCUCGAGCACUGUAGAGGCAGAUGGAAUUCCGGGUGUAGCGGUGGAAUGCGUAGAUAUCGGGAGGAACACCAGUGGCGAAGGCGGUUGCCUGGGGCUUUGCUGACGCUGAUGCGCGAAAGCGUGGGGAGCGAUCCGG
rnacentral:rRNA from 1 species